GAGAAGCCCAGUGACAUCACCGUCCCUAUCACUGCAGCAGUGGCUGUUCUCGUCCUCGUUGUUUCCACUGGAUUCAUCGUUUACAAAAAGAGGAAAGCCAAACUUCCCCCAUCUCCUCUUGACAGCAGCUCUAAGCUCUCUGAGAAACUCAAUCCAGAAACCUGACUGACAAAAAGAGUAAACACUCUGAUAUGUUAUAUCAUAACUUUACAAAGCUUUACAAAAAAGACUGAAAGAUGGCUUCCUGCAAUCAGAAUUAAGUGGUUAUGAUUCAUAUGCUUGAUAUUCAAACAUUAAAUGUAAUAAAUUUAUUCCAGAUCACAAAUUUUUAAUGUGUUACAUAUGUCAGAUUUUUCUAUUAUUCUUUAUUUUC